GCCGUUGCCGUGGCUCAGUUGGUUAAUGCGCCUGUCUAGUAAACAGGAGAUCACGAGUUCGAAUCUCGUCGUCGGUG